rnacentral:rRNA from 1 species
AGAAUGGUUGGAAAUCAUUCGCAGAGUGUAAAGGCACAAGGGAGCUUGACUGCGAGACCUACAAGUCGAGCAGGGACGAAAGUCGGGCUUAGUGAUCCGGUGGUUCCGCAUGGAAGGGCCAUCGCUCAACGGAUAAAAGCUACCCCGGGGAUAACAGGCUUAUCUCCCCCAAGAGGCCACAUCGACGGGGAGGUUUGGCACCUCGAUGUCGGCUCAUCGCAUCCUGGGGCUGUAGUCGGUCCCAAGGGUUGGGCUGUUCGCCCAUUAAAGCGGUACGCGAGCUGGGUUCAGAACGUCGUGAGGCAGUUCGGUCCCUAUCCGUCGCGGGCGCAGGAAAUUUGAGAGGAGCUGUCCUUAGUACGAGAGGACCGGGAUGGACGCACCGCUGGUGUACCAGUUGUUCUGCCAAGGGCAUCGCUGGGUAGCUAUGUGCGGACGGGAUAAGUGCUGAAAGCAUCUAAGCAUGAAGCCCCCCUCAAGAUGAGAUUUCCCAUUCCGCAAGGAAGUAAGAUCCCUGAAAGAUGAUCAGGUUGAUAGGUCUGAGGUGGAAGUGUGGCGACACAUGGAGCUGACAGAUACUAAUCGAUCGAGGACUUAACCAAUUU